rnacentral:rRNA from 1 species
GAUGAACGCUGGCGGCGUGCCUAAUACAUGCAAGUCGAGCGAACGGACGAGAAGCUUGCUUCUCUGAUGUUAGCGGCGGACGGGUGAGUAACACGUGGAUAACCUACCUAUAAGACUGGGAUAACUUCGGGAAACCGUAGCUAAUACCGGAUAAUAUUUUGAACCGCAUGGUUCAAAAGUGAAAGACGGUCUUGCUGUCACUUAUAGAUGGAUCCGCGCUGCAUUAGCUAGUUGGUAAGGUAACGGCUUACCAAGGCAACGAUGCAUAGCUGACCUGAGAGGGUGAUCAGCCACACUGGAACUGAGACACGGUCCAGACUCCUACGGGAGGCAGCAGUAGGGAAUCUUCCGCAAUGGGCGAAAGCCUGACGGAGCAACGCCGCGUGAGUGAUGAAGGUCUUCGGAUCGUAAAACUCUGUUAUUAGGGAAGAACAGAUGUGUAAGUAACUGUGCACAUCUUGACGGUACCUAAUCAGAAAGACACGGCUAACUACGUG